AGAAAAAAAAAAAAAGAAAAAAAGUUCCACUGCAAUUUUUUAUUCUCCUAGUCCUCAACAUAUAUUUAUAGUUUAUCUCAAUUAUCAAAAUUCAAAGGCAUUCAGAAUAUGUGAGCAAUCUAGAUCUUAUGCUUAGCUUCUUGUCAAAGAAUUCCAAGAGAAAAAAGAAAGGAAAAUCCCAGCUUACAAGUUUCAUUUGCCGAGGGUAGGGGCAUGCUCCAGGGGCACCAUAAUUGACAGCCAAGAUAUUAACACCUU
rnacentral:misc_RNA from 1 species